UGCAAGAAUUCAGCAUGAAAGUGGCCGUCGUUCUCCUGUGUCUGCUUCCCUUUGCCUUCAGGGCACUCCUUGGAAAUGUCCUUGACUCCGCUGAGCUGCACAAACUGGUG